CCUACGAGAGGCAGCAGUAGGGAAUUUUCGUCAAUGGGCGCAAGCCUGAACGAGCAAUGCCGCGUGAACGAGGAAGGUCUUCGGAUCGUAAAGUUCUGUUGAAGGGGAAAAAGAGCGGAGAGAGGAAAUGCUUUCUGAUUGAUAUUACCCUUCGAGGAAGUCACGGCUAACUACGUGCCAGCAGCCGCGGUAAUAAGGAGGUGGCGAGCGUUAUCCGGAAUGAUUGGGCGUAAGGGGUGCGUAGGCGGCCUGCUAAGUCUGGAGUGAAAGGUACCGGCUCAACCGGUACAGGCUCUGGAAACUGGCGGGCUAGAGGGCAGGAGAGGGCGGUGGAACUCCAUGUGUAGCGGUAAAAUGCGUAGAUAUAUGGAAGAACAUCAGUGGCGAAGGCGGCCGCCUGGCCUGUUAACUGACGCUGAGGCACGAAAGCGUGGGGAGCAAAUAGGAUUAGAUACCCCUGUAGUC
rnacentral:rRNA from 1 species